UUAUUCAGAAAAAACGCAGCUCCUCCGGUUACUUUCAUUUGUUUUUAAUGCAGUCUUGCCCUCACUAACAUGGCGGACGAGCGGCAACGGCUCAGAGUCUAUGUUCAGAGCGCCCAAUGAGGUAUUUACAUGUCUAUGUUCUAAACUGCCAACCAACCACUGGUCCACAGAAUGAGCAGGUUUGUCCUUUGUAGUAAAAUAUAUGACACAUAUUUAAUAUUUAGUCAUAUUAGUAAUAUCUAUACAUGUAUUCAUUAUGCACACACUUCAUACUUCCAUAACUUUCUGUUUCAGGGUUUCCAAAUGUAAUUGGGUGCAUUGAUGGCACUCACAUUCCUAUUAAAGCUCCAUCAAUAAAUGAGGGAGACUAUGUUAAUAGGAAAUCUAUUCAUAGUAUCAAUGUGCAGGUAAUAUGUGAGGCAACCCAAAUCAUCACCAAUGUCGAGGCAAAAUGGCCAGCAUCUGUGCAUGAUGCCAGAAUUUUCCGCGAGUCAUCAUUAUGCCAGACAUUUCAGCAGGGACAGUACAAUGGUUACUUGCUGGGGGACAGAGGAUACCCUUGUCUGCCCUAUUUAAUGACACCCUACCCUGAACCUGAGCCUGGACCACAGACACGGUUUAACCUG